AGGAGCAUAGUUUAAUGGUAGAACUGUAGUCUCCAAAACUACUAGUGCGGGUUCGAUUCCUGCUGCUCCUG